GCUACUCCCCCUGUCAUAAGUGGGGAAGUUAGUAAACCGGUCAAGCAAGUUGCUUCAUCUAGGGAUGAUUAUAUCUCCAACAUUCCAUUCAAGUUCUCCACUGAGACUUUCCUCUUGCAUCUAAGGUUUUCUAGCCCAUAGAAAGAUAGAGUCUCUAUGACUUGAUUUUCUAGGGAACUUCAACGUUUGGGGCCAAUUACUAAUUAAUUAAGGAAGCGAAAGGAGGGUGGUAGAGAUGACUCUCGUUAAGGUGCUAAUUACAAGUAUGGGAAGUUUUAUCUAGAGAUCCUUCGUUCGGAGUUGAGGAGCAAAAUAAGAAUAAAUUCAAGCCUUGAGACCCUGCAUAAAUUGAGCAGAUGAUGAGUGUGGAUACUCCGAUAAUUUCCAAGGACUUUCUUCAGAAUUCAUCAUCCAAUCAUCAAAUAUGCUUAUUAUGGUGAGGAGGAGAGGCCACUGGUCUUCUCCCCACUCUGGUGGGUGUAGUGAUGGUAGGAAGGCUUCAAAGCAUGUCAACAAUUGGAAGGUGUUUGAAGGCAUGGAAAUGAAAGCUUUUUUGAUCAGGUUUUGCUGGAUGUUCAUGCAGUUGGAUUAGCUAAUAUUCUAGCUGGUGAUGCUUCCUCUGAGGAACAUUAGCAGCCGGUUAUUUCUUUGGAUGAUGACCACCUCCUUAGCUCUUUCUUGGGCUUUGUUCGUUCUAUUAUGGGUAUCAAACAAGUGAUGUACGGAUGUGGAUACUAUGAUCAUUUCCCAAGACUUUCGUCUAGAUUCAUUGUCUGAUCGUCAAAUCUGUUAACACAUCUCCGAUUGCAACCGGAAAGUGCAGGUUUGCAAUCUCGAAUCAAACAUAUUAUGUGUGGAUGCCAUACAUUAUAGUCUAUUAUCUGAAGGUUAGGCUUUGAAUGCAAUUUCUGGUUUGGAUUGUGUGCAUGGUUUGGGUGGCAGCUUGGUUGGAUUGUCUUGGUGCAAGUGUGACAAUGUUUCAACUUAAGAGCCUAACGUUACAGGGCAAUGCGCAUCAGCUAUUUGUGUUAAUGCUCUAAAGUAUUUUUCAUUCAAUUUGGGGGAUAUUGAUGUUGAAUUUUAACCUCAUUCUAGCAAAUAGAAUUCCCUAAGGUAGCCUAGAGUGUUUGGCAAUCAAAUUCCAGGUCUUUUUUCUUGGAGAAAACCCUCCUAUACCCCUUUUGAAAAGUUUGUCAAACAUGAGAUUCUUGAUAAGGAUGGUAUUUUCUUGACACAUAAUAUUGAUAAAGUUCAAGAAAAUAUUUUUAAAUUGGAAUGUGCUUUAGUUGGGAAACUUCUAGGCAAGUUAAUAUCCUUUGCUUGGCUUCAUGUUGAACUAUCGAGGUGAUGGUCAUAUGCUGGGGAGUUUUAAUUGAUCAUAUAAUUUUGAGGGGUGGUCCUUUGAUUGUUGCUGGUAGCAUUAUUGAACUAGACUAGUUGUCUCGUAUCUUCUCUCUCGAGGAUAUGUACAAGUUUUUCCCCGCUAAUUUGGGUAUGUUAUCCAUGGCUUCCUUUGAUGUAUUGGGAUCCUUCCAAUAUUUCUCGUUUGGAUGCUAUGAUUGGUGAACCUCCUUGGAUGAAUGAUCCUUCAUCCUCUUGGGGUUAGAGUUCUUAUAUUAGAGUCUGUGUCGACAUUGAUUUGGCAUAGAAGCUUCUCUCAAAAUUUUGGAUCAAGGGCCUAAUUGGCAGAUUUUUUUCAAAUAGUUGAGUAUGAGGACAGCUCUCAUUUAUAUUUCCAUUAUGGAAUUAUUGGCCUUAAAGUGGACUCUUCUCCUUUCAAGCCUUAGUUGCAGCCUGAUAUCCAUGUUGAUAGCAUUCCAUAAUCUUCAAUUUUCGAGUAGCAGAAUCAAGAUGUUCUUAUGGAUACUCAUCAGAUCGAUCCUCGAUCUCCUCAACCUUCAUCCUCUUCCUAUGAUGUGGAUAAAUUGGGGACUUGGAACAUCAUCACUAGAAAGUUAAAGCCUAAGAAGAAAACUAAUCUCCCCACCACCUCUACUUGAGGACAUGAAAUGAGGUGCCCCACUCCAAAACUAACUAUAUCUAUCUCUAAGCCUAUUAUCUUCAUUGCCCAUAAAUCUCAACACAAAUCUCAACACAGGAAUUUCUCCAAAAAUUGUCGAAAUCUCUCCAAGCAAAAGACUUAGCAUGUCUUAUCACCAUUUAAGGAAAAAAUUGCAGCAUCUUGGGCUUGUCACCACUGGCCCAAGGAACUCGAAAAAAGCAUAUAAUGAUAUCUUAAGCAAGGGUUUAGUCCCCGUAAAUCACCAAUAUUGAGUUCCUCUUUUGUGUAUUAUACUGUUGUCGCAAUCAAAUGAGAUCACUACAAGCCUCUUUCUAGCGUGAUCUUUUAUUUGCUUUGUUGGUGCCAUCUACAAUACCAUGAGGUACCUCACAUUAUCAGAUGAGGGGCUUUUCAUCC